UCGAGGAUCUUUGGCAAUGAGCGCAAGCUUGACCAAGCGACGCCGCGUGUGCGAUGAAGGCCUUCGGGUUGUAAAGCACUGUCGAGGGGGAUCAAAGCGCAACCUUGAGUGAUCCCUGGAGGAAGCACGGGCUAAGUUCGUGCCAGCAGCCGCGGUAAGACGAACCGUGCGAACGUUGUUCGGAAUCACUGGGCUUAAAGGGCGCGUAGGCGGGUCAGCAAGUCCGGGGUGAAAUCUUUCGGCUUAACCGGAAAAGUGCCUUGGAGACUGCUGGUCUUGAGGGAGGUAGGGGCCUGCGGAACUUCUGGUGGAGCGGUGAAAUGCGUUGAUAUCAGAAGGAACGCCGGUGGCGAAAGCGGCGGGCUGGACCUCUUCUGACGCUGAGGCGCGAAAGCCAGGGGAGCAAACGGGAUUAGAUACCCCCGUAGUCC
rnacentral:rRNA from 1 species